GUUCUUGUAGUUGAAUACAACGGUGGUUUUUCAAGUCACUGGUCUUGGUUAAAGUCCAGGCAGGAAUU
rnacentral:tRNA from 1 species